GAUUACAUGUAUACGCUGGAAUACUUGACCCAACUGUUAAUGAGAAAGGGUUUAUUAUCCCCGAAUUGGGUGAUGCUGGAGACCAUAGCUUUGGCACAUGAAGUAAAUGCGAAUCAGUUGAUGAAAUUUCUUGCCAUAUCUAUCAUUUUUUAUAGAAGUGAAACACACCUUGUGAUGGCGCGAGUUGGGCGUUGACCCCCUUCCCCCCAUCCCUACCCAUGUUGCUUAUCUUGUUUAACACCAUAUCAUUGUUUCCCAAUUUUGGAACCUCGAGGUACUAUAUAUGCCUGCUAAAGUUCUUCCCCUA